rnacentral:rRNA from 1 species
UCAGGUGCCUAUAUCGGCGGUGUCUACCUCUUCCCAUUCCGAACAGAGAAGUCAAGCCCGCCAGAGCCGAUGGUACUGCGGUAAAACGUGGGAGAGUAGGUCGGUGCCACCCUUUAUCACCUCAAAUGGUGCAAUAAUGCAAAAGCCUUAGCUAAUCACUAAGG